rnacentral:rRNA from 1 species
CCUACGGGAGGCAGCAGUGGGGAAUCUUGGACAAUGGGCGCAAGCCUGAUCCAGCUAUUCCGCGUGUGUGAAGACGGCCUUCGGGUUGUAAACCACUUUUGUAGAGAACGAAAAGUCUAUUGAUAAUACCGAUAGACGAUGACGGUACUCUAAGAAUAAGCACCGGCUAACUACGUGCCAGCAGCCGCGGUAAUACGUAGGGUGCGAGCGUUAAUCGGAAUUACUGGGCGUAAAGGGUAUGCAGGUGGUUUUGUAAGUUGGAUGUGAAAGCCCCGGGCUUAACCUGGGAAAGGCAUUCAAGACUGUGAGACUAGAGUGCGUCAGAGGAGAGUGGAAUUCCAAGUGUAGCAGUGAAAUGCGUAGAUAUUUGGAAGAACACCGAUGGCGAAGGCAGCCCCCUGGGACGCAACUGACGCUCAUACACGAAAGCGUGGGGAGCAAACAGGAUUAGAUACCCUGGUAGUC